GGGGGAGGCCAUGUUGCCGUACGGCACCUGCCGUGACUGGGGGAACCUAAUCUUACGGGGGCAAGGCAGCGAGGAAUUCUUAUAUUGAUAUCUGACCCCGGCUCCGCAUUUGAUGCGUGCCCCGACCACUCCGACCUUCCAGGCUGCCUCUCUGUCUCUAGCAGCCACCGAGAAUCGGCCCUGGGGCUACGAGUUCUACUACACGAGAUUAUUUCUAUACGUACGGAAUGUGUGCACUGGAGAGAGGAGGCAUUCAGUGACUACAGCUCCAGUUCCUCUUCUUUUUGAGGUGUUCCAAGCAGCCAGCCCCAGAGGUUUGCCCAGGGUAUUGGCCACAGCAACUUGUAGGCAGCCUCUAGCAUCAGCACCGCCAGGAAGAUGGCAAGAAAAAUGAAAAAGGCCCUGUCUAGGGCCCGAAGAAAGGGACCCCUGGGAGGAGCAGGACCCUGGGCAAAUGUCAAGAACACAUCUUCCUCAUUCCUGUCGCCCUCCUCCUCUGCCAUCCUGCCUUGAAAGCCUAACAGCUGAGCAGAUCAAGCUGGAGGUGAUGGAGACACUGGCUCAGCACUAGUUGGAUUAGUGGUAAUUUAGAGGGGAAGCAGUUUUCUUGCUGCAUGUGCCCUCUGUGACCUAAUUCUCCAGAGACAGAAAUAAUGACUAUAAUGACAACAUAGAGCCCUUUAAAGUUUUCAAAGUGAUUUACAUAUAUUAGUAUGGAGGUCCCACACCAUCCCAUUAAUGUAAUCAUAGAAGGAGUAGACUGUUAGAUUGAAUCAUUCAAACUAGGUAUAUUAAUCAAUUUGAAAGAACUCUAGGACUGAUCAUUGGAUGAAGACAGAUAAAUGACACCACACAGGAAAAACCUGUGUUUGAAGGAAAGAAUAAAAAUAUACCUGGGAUGCUAGUUGUAGAAGAGCUACAAUCCUGAGGAUUCAAGUUUGAUCCAAGCCUGUAAGAGGGAAUGGCUCUACCCUGUUGACCAUGUUAUUGUAAAGAUGUUAUUGGAUCAAUGGUAGAGAGUUCAUCCAGCUGAGAUCAGAGAGACUAGACCAGUAGCAGACAGUACACAUAGCAGGGAGGCAUCAAAGACCGUGAACCGUCAUGGCAGAGAGAACUGACCAACUAUGAAUUCUGUAAGUCACUGACCCUCGGGGCCCAGCCAAUGCUGCUGCACCUAAAGAGAACUUCAUGAAGAUUCUUUGAAGGGAGAACCAAACUACCACUAACCAGGAACCUUGAGUUACCCCUUUGCCAUGUGUGCCUUACCACCUUUGUGCUUUACACUUAUGCCCACUCUAUCCAUCAUUCUUGUGUAUUUUGGGGGGAGCAUACCCAGAGUUGUAGGGUGGGGAGUGGAAGGGAUUUUUUUCCCCAACUACCAUUCUUCCCACUAUACCUCCAGUCUAUACCAUCAUAGUAAAUACCUUUGUUAAAAAUUAAUUUUGGGGGCAUUAGUUGAUAAUCAAUGGGAAGCACAUCAGUGGGAAUUCCUGAGCUAGAAACUCGAGUCUUCACAGCUAACCCUCAAAUCCUGAAAGUGCUAGACAGCUGCUCUCUGGGAACUCCUCUGGCCAAUAUAAGUGAGAAUUGGGGAAAUGGCCAUAGAGGGAGUGUUGCCUAUACAUUUGAGCUUUGCCACAAUUCUUUAAGAUAGGCCCAUUUUACAAAUGAAGAAGUAAGGCUCAGAGAGCCUUAUUAUUAUUGACUUGCUCACAGUUACACAGGUGCUGAGUAUGACCAGGAACAAAAAUUUUCCUGAUUCCAAAGUCUGGCUGCAUCUGUCAUGCCUCCAGGAACUAAAGGCUUUUCAUUCUGAUAUGCAAACAGCCCCAAAUACCCUCCACUGACACUAUGCUGACUGGGUUUCAGAGCCUGUCAGUAGUACUUGCUGGGGAAAAUCCUUACUCUGGAGACUCAGAUAGGCAACUGGAGCCCCUACACCACCCAUCUUUCCUGCCAUUAUCUCAAAAACAUCCACCAACUUCUAAAUCAGAAGCCAGCCGAAAGAAGUCUGUGAGCAGAGGAGGCACUGAAUCCUCUUCUUUU